CAAAACAGGAUGGAGGGAUUUGAUAGAAUGCCAUUUUGGAUUCAGCUGUUUGUAUUUCUCUUGCAGGAGGUGAGAAGCUGCUCUAUGGCCGUCCCUCAAAUGCAGGAUAUUAACGCUAAUCAGAAUGUAGAAAUCCAUCGAGAGGGCCGUAAUGAUCCACCGAAAGGGCCCCAAAGGGUCCUCUCAGGUUCAUUAUCAGGUUUGUCUCGUAAGAGAAGAAAUGCAAAAUCAAGAAAGAAAAAUAAAAAUAAAGGCAAAAAACCCAUCAAACGUUCUGCAGUUGAAUGUUCUUCAUAAAAUGGAUCCGUUGCAGAUGGAUAAAUGAAAAGUAUCUGGUGGAAGAAACGAGCCGUCUAUGUAAUGAAAGACCCUCUUGGAGCUGUAACAUUCAUAUAUGUUGUACCACAGCACAGAAAUAUGGAAAGGAUAAGCAAAAUGUGUUACAGUUAUUAUGUAUAUCCUACAAUAGCUGCAUUGACAACUUUGAAUGAAGUGACUUCGAACGCGAGAGCAACAGUGACACCUAGUGGAGAACACUAUAGAAACAGGAUAACUAGUAUAAAUAAAUCUAAAGCAACUGGACUUGUUUAGUAAUCAUUGGAGACAUUGAAGCAGGAGGAUUCAGAAAAAUAAAACCUAUAGGAACAGUUUGAGUAAUCAUGGACUUUUAUGACGCCAUUCGGCUCCACUUUUCACACUGAGGGGUGGUAUUUAAGAGAGUUGAUUGAAUAAGCAACACUUAUAUAUCCUAAUUAUCCAACAAGCGUUUUCUAAUCACGCUGCUAUGUAACAUAGUAACAUAGUAAGUUGGGUUGAAAAAAGACAUACGUCCAUCACGUUCAACCAUAAUACCUAUAUAUAACCUGCCUAACUACUAGUAGGUUGUAGGUUGUAUUUGUGUAUAUAAUACACAUUGCUUUGUAAUUAACACAAACCUGGUACAUUCCUGGGACCUAUAAUAAACACCCACAUACUGUA